rnacentral:rRNA from 1 species
UACAGAGGUCUCAAGCGUUGUUCGGAUUCAUUGGGCGUAAAGGGUGCGUAGGCGGCGCGGUAAGUCGGGUGUGAAAUUUCGGAGCUUAACUUCGAAACUGCAUUCGAUACUGCCGUGCUUGAGGACUGGAGAGGAGACUGGAAUUUACGGUGUAGCGGUGAAAUGCGUAGAUAUCGUAAGGAAGACCAGUGGCGAAGGCGGGUCUCUGGACAGUUCCUGACGCUGAGGCACGAAGGUCAGGGGAGCAAACGGG